rnacentral:siRNA from 1 species
ACUCCACCGCCGCCAUCAUCGAGA